rnacentral:rRNA from 1 species
GACGAACGCUGGCGGCGUGCCUAACACAUGCAAGUCGAGCGGGGUUGAGGCGAGAGGUAACUCGAGCUUCUACCUAGCGGCGGACGGGUGAGUAACGCGUGGGCAACCUGCCUCAAGGUUUGGGAUAACAGCCCGAAAGGGCUGCUAAUACCGGAUAUGCCUAUGGCCUCGCAUGGGGCUAUGAGCAAAGGGGAAACCCGCCUUGAGAUGGGCCCGCGUCCCAUCAGCUAGUUGGUGAGGUAACAGCUCACCAAGGCGACGACGGGUAGCCGGCCUGAGAGGGUGACCGGCCACACUGGGACUGAGACACGGCCCAGACUCCUACGGGGGGCAGCAGUGGGGGAUCUUGCACAAUGGGCGAAAGCCUGAUGCAGCGACGCCGCGUGAGCGAAGAAGGCCUUCGGUGUUAAAGCUCUGUCUGGAGGGACGGAACCAAAAUAGAACGGUACCUACCCGGAGGAAAGGCCACGGCUAACCGUACGUAG